GGUUGUAUAGUGUAGUUGGUUAUCACAUCGGAUUCUGAUUUCAUCGUCAGAAUACUCUAAUUUCCUUCCGGGGACCCCGGUUCGAGUCCGGGUACGACCU